rnacentral:rRNA from 1 species
AUUGAACGCUGGCGGAAUGCUUUACACAUACAAGUCGAACGGUAGAGGGGGCAACCCCUCGAGAGUGGCGAACGGGUGAGUAAUAUAUCGGAACGUGCCCAGUCGUGGGGGAUAACGUAGCGAAAGUUACGCCAGUACCGCAUACGAUCUAAGGAUGAAAGCGGGGGAUCGCAAGACCUCGCGCGAUUGGAGCGGCCGAUAUCAGAUUAGGUAGUUGGUGGGGUAAAGGCUCACCAAGCCAACGAUCUGUAGCUGGUCUGAGAGGACGACCAGCCACACUGGAACUGAGACACGGUCCAGACUCCUACGGGAGGCAGCAGUGGGGAAUUUUGGACAAUGGACGCAAGUCUGAUUCAGCCAUUCCGCGUGCAGGAUGAAGGCCCUCGGGUUGUAAACUGCUUUUGUACGGAACGAAAAGGUCUCUCUUAAUACGGGGGGCUCAUGACGGUACCGUAAGAAUAAGCACCGGCUAACUACGUGCCAGCCGCCGCCGUAA